rnacentral:lncRNA from 1 species
UCUUAAAUGAUUUUUAUAUAAGUGUUUAAUAUAUGUGAAUUUUUUCAUCUAAUGUAAACAAUUGAUUUUUAGUUUAUUCUCUUUAAAUAUCUGUUGUUGUAUGAGGACAGAUGAUACCAAUGAUCUUGCUGCUGAAUGUAGGGAUAGAUUAGAGAGAAAAGAGAACUCAUGUUAACUGUAAGAAAUGAUACUUUAUUUUUAACAAGAACAACAGAAUUCCAUUACUCUAAACAAGGAGCUAGUGUUAUACCAGAUGUUGAGAUGGGGACUAGAAAACAUAAAUAUAUGCGAGAAAUUGAUUCACUGGUUGGAAUGUGGGAUGUUCCAACACCCUCCCUCGUUCCACAUUUUCUGAUUGGCUGUUACCUUUAAUUUUUCCAAUUAUUCCAAUUCUUUUUCUGAGAUUUUGAUAUCUUGGCC